UUGAGUGUAAAAUUGUUCUAUUUAUUUAGCCUUUUCAUUAGAGAUAAAAUUGUUUCAUGCAGUAGAACAGUGUUACAAAGACGCGGAUAUGUUUCCAAUGUUCUGGUGGUAUACUCAAAUUAGCCAAUGGAAUAAAUGGAGUGUAUUCACUCGUACCUAGCCGUGGGAAAUUUUAUUUGAAUUUUAUUGGACACUUACAAAGGUCAGCGACUAUGGUAUAUAAACAGCCAAGGUGCCUGUACCACGUGACAUUUUCGGCUAUGUGUGGGACAAUCGGAUGUCAACAAACCAUCGCUUCAGACUUGACAUGGAUUAGUCGAAGGAUUUGUUACGCUUUAAGGCGCGAAGCUGUGUUAGAAUUAGAUGAACACCAUCAAACCACACGGAAGGUGUUAUGCGGCAAGUUAAUUAUCAAAACCACAGUGACAGAGACGGACCCAGCACCAUUCUGUGAUGUUUACGGAAAGCUAUUUCAACUGACUAUGCAAACAUACCAUUUAAUAUGUAUUUUGGCAUAAUCAAAACAAAGUGUAUGUAUUGAUAUUUGUGUAUAUUUAUGUGUUUUGUAUCUAUGUUAUUAAUGAAAUUGAUUAGAUGAAAAUAAAAUCUUAGUAUAUAUGUUAAUAAAACAAUUGUUUCAUAACAAAUAACAAUAUAAAUCCAAUAAUAAUUGUUUGUGGUCUAUUAAGUUCAUUUAGUUUCCAAUAUCAUCUCCAUAUGAAUAUCUUAAGUAUAUCAAAAUAAACACUUCAUUAAU